CCUACGGGUGGCAGCAGUGAGGACUAUUGGUCAAUGGCCGGAAGGCUGAACCAGCCAAGCCGCGUGAAGGACGAAGGUGCCAAGCAUUGUAAACUUCUUUUGUCAAGGGACAAAAUCAGGCUCGAGAGCCUGACCGAGGGUACUUGAAGACAAAGCAUCGGCUAACUCCGUGCCAGCAGCCGCGGUAAGACGGAGGAGGCGAGCGUUAUCCGGAUUUAUUGGGUUGAAAGGGGGCGUAGGCGGGCUGUUAACUCAGGGGUAAACGCCCGGGGCUCAACCCCGGCGAGCCGUUGAAACUGGCUGUGUGGAGAUGUCGAGAGGUAUGCGGAAUGCGCAGUGUAGCGGUGAAAUGCUUAGAUAUUGCGCAGAACUCCGAUUGCGAAGGCAGCAUACCGGCGGCGAUCUGACGCUGAGGCACGAAAGCGUGGGUAUCGAACAGGAUUAGAUACCCUAGUAGUC
rnacentral:rRNA from 1 species